UAACCAGACGGUCGCAUCGUAAGAUGAGGAAAGUCCGAGCACCACAGGACAGAGUGCCGGCUAAUUACCGGUGAAGGCGACUUCAAGGAAAGUGCACAGAAAUACACAGCCGCUUGCGGCAACAGGUGAAAUGGUGAGGUAAGAGCUCACCGGGGGCCGGGUGACCGGUCUGCCAGGUAAACCCCACUCGGUGCAAGAGAGGAUAGGCUAAGGUGGUCCGCCGCUAUCCGACGUUCGCUUGAACGCGUAGGUAACUGCGCGUCUAGACAGAUGACCGUUUAAUACAGAACUCGGCUUAUAGAUUAACUCA
rnacentral:RNase_P_RNA from 1 species